AGAGUUUGAUUAUGGCUCAGAUUGAACGCUGGCGGAAUGCUUUACACAUGCAAGUCGAACGAUGAACCUUAGCUUGCUAAGGGGAUUAGUGGCGGACGGGUGAGUAAUAUAUCGGAACGUGUCCAUUAAUGGGGGAUAACUAGCCGAAAGGUUGGCUAAUACCGCAUACGCCCUGAGGGGGAAAGCUGGGGAUCUUCGGACCUGGCGUUAAUGGAGCGGCCGAUAGCUGAUUAGCUAGUUGGUGGGGUAAAGGCCUACCAAGGCGACGAUCAGUAGCUGGUCUGAGAGGACGACCAGCCACACUGGGACUGAGACACGGCCCAGACUCCUACGGGAGGCAGCAGUGGGGAAUUUUGGACAAUGGGGGAAACCCUGAUCCAGCCAUUCCGCGUGAGUGAAGAAGGCCUUCGGGUUGUAAAGCUCUUUCGCAAGGGAAGAAAAGAUACAAGUUAAUAGCUUGUGUUGUUGACGGUACCUUGAUAAGAAGCACCGGCUAACUACGUGCCAGCAGCCGCGGUAAUACGUAGGGUGCGAGCGUUAAUCGGAAUUACUGGGCGUAAAGCGUGCGCAGGCUGUUUGGCAAGUCAGAUGUGAAAUCCCCGAGCUCAACUUGGGAACUGCGUUUGAAACUGCCAGACUAGAAUAGGUCAGAGGGGGGUAGAAUUCCACGUGUAGCAGUGAAAUGCGUAGAGAUGUGGAGGAAUACCAAUGGCGAAGGCAGCCCCCUGGGAUCAUAUUGACGCUCAUGCACGAAAGCGUGGGGAGCGAACAGGAUUAGAUACCCUGGUAGUCCACGCCCUAAACGAUGUCAACUAGUUGUUGGUGGAGUAAAAUCCAUGAGUAACGUAGCUAACGCGUGAAGUUGACCGCCUGGGGAGUACGGUCGCAGAUUAAAACUCAAUGAAUUGACGG
rnacentral:rRNA from 1 species